rnacentral:lncRNA from 1 species
GAUGUCUAAAAGGACUGACUGAAGACUCAUAAUUUUCUGUGCAUAUUUCUGAAGCUGCAGGUGAAAAUAACUAGAAAAAUAGGGUUUGGUUUGGCAGGCUACUUGGUAUUAUCUAGUAAUACUUAAAAUGCACAUAUUCUUUCACCCAGUAUGUCAUGGUUACAAGUCAUGCAUCUAUCAUAUAUAUAUAUAUACAUAGCCACACAUGUACACUAGACAUUUUUGAUAAGGACAUUUAUUAUAGCACUGUUUGCAGUAGCAAAAAAGAAAAAAAAAGGAAACAACUUAUGGGUUUUUCCUAUUGGUGACAGGUGAUAGAAUUGGGUGGAGCCUGCUGCUGUCCCCUGGAACUCAUGGCCCACCCCUCAGGGGGCCCUGGAAGCCUCUCCAACCCCUUCCCAGGCAGCAGCAUGCAAACCUGCCCAGCCCUUCAGUUGAGAGCAAAGGGGUGAAGGUGAGCCACUGGGAUCCCGGGACUGAUGGCUGGAGACUCCUCUACCAGCAGGUGGGAGGGGCCGUGGGGAGAGGCCUCAGGCCAGAGCCAUGGGCCUCUGCACUCCUGGGGCUGGGAGAGGCCCAGUAUGUUAAAAUGUUGCCAGGGCACUGAGGACUGGAGUGGGGGGCGGUCUCCAGAGGAGUAGGGAAAGGAGGGGACUGCAGCCCCUUCAGUCAAAUCUACUUUAUCUGCCAUGUCCAGGCCCCCUUGGGACACUAACAGUUUGCCAGGGGUGGUACUCACCGGCACGUAAUGCACCACUGUGUCCACCACGUUGUCAGUAACGCCCUUCAGGGCAUCUGAUAGGGACAUGGCCCUCCCCUUGGUUGAGGAGACAGCAGGGGCUGGUGUGAGGUGCAGCACCCUCCUUGCCAUGCCCAGCACAGCUGCAGGUGCCCAUGUCACAGCCGAGAUGGUGGUCUGGAGGGUCUUCUGCAGGGUAUGUGCCACACCACCCAGGAGGCCUCGAGGGCCUGGCAGGGCUGCUACCUGGGGGCCAGAGCAGGGUCAGUGCCUCCUGUGGUAACUCCCCUGACCCUUCCCUCCCCACCAGCCCCAGGGCUAGAGGGAAAAGCAUGAGAAUACCAAAUUUACAAAACUUCAGGCCUAUUCUGCCACUAGCAGUGUGGCCUUGGACAGGUCACAUUCCCUCUCUGAACCUCUGUUUCUUCUCCUGCAAAAUGGGACAAUAAUCUCUGCCCUGCCUAUUUACAGAGUGUUGCAAGGGUCAGCUGAGAGAAUGACAUGGAAGUCCCUCGCCAGCUGGGCAUUUGGGGGUGGGGUGAAGGGUGUUGCACUCACAUGCCAUGCCCCUGCAUCUGGGGCAGAGGCCCUGAGUUCACCCUAUGCCUCUGCUUCUCACCCCUUCUGUGGGCUGGGGGACCAUGAGGCUCCCACUCUCCCCCUCACCUCACUGAACUUGUUCUCCUCAGUCUCCAAUUCUUCCUCCUCCUCCGUGUCCUCUCCCUCCGUGUCUGUCUGGUCCUCAUGAUCCUCCUCCUGGGCGGCUGCGAGGCUGUGCAGCCAGGGUACCCGCACUUCGCUCCUCCGCCGGGACACCGCCUGCAUGGCCACUGAGGCACCCCACUGGGCCAGGCUGCUCUGAGGGAGGAUGGCAGCAGAUUGCUGGCUCAACUGCCCCUGCUGAAGGCCAGGGAGCCCCAGCAGGCCAAGCCCCUUGCCCCCAGGGUCCGGGCCAGGUGGUGAGCAGGGCUCAGCCCCAGCAGACUUUUCUUGAAACUUUUUAUUGAGUGGUAAUCUACAUACACUAAAGUGCACACAUCUUUAGUGUAAGCUCUAUGAAUUUUUAUAAGAACACACCUGUGUAACCACCACAGAUCAAGACAUAGACCAUUUUCAACACCCAAAGACUCCCUGUGUCCCCACUCAGUCCAUAUUCCCCCAAGAGUGACCACAGUCCUGCUCUCUGUCACCAUGCCUUAGUUUUGCCUAUUUUCGAACUUCAUGUAAGUGGAGUCACACCAUGUGUAUUCAUUCAUUAAUAGCUCCUUUAGUUAAAUAUGAUGGUGUAAGUUUCACCCAUGUUGCUGCAAAUGGAAGUAGCUCCUUCUUUUUCAUUUCUGUGUAAUAUUCCAUCAUACGAAUUUCCUGCAAUUUACCCAUUCUACCGUUGAUGGACAUUAUCAUCGCUUCCAGUUCUUAGCUAAGGAUAUUGCUGAUCUGAACAUUUUUUACUUGUCUUGGGAGACUUAAGUGCUCAUUUCUGUUGGGUAUACACUUAAGAGUGGAACUGCUGGGCCGUAGGAUAUAUGUAUGUUAGCUUUGGUAGAUACUCCUCCCAGAUCUUUUAAGAGUGAAAAAUUCAGUGAACCAGAGUGUCCCAUGGGAAGAAAUUGACUGAGCAAGUGGGCUGGUAUCUCCUGAGGCACAUUCUAAACCUCUAGGGAGCCCCACAAACAGAGCCUCCUUAUUACACAGCUUUUGGGAAUGCCACUCUGUUCCAUGCGAAUGGUGGCACGUGAGGUUCUGCCCACUGCAGGCGGGGUCCAGGCAUGUGACUCAGUCUCAGCUGUUAUUGAUGCAGGGGACAGAGGGGAACUACUACUCCUGUAUUCCUGCAGGGGCAACACUUGCUUGAAUGAAUGAUCCACGCCUGAUGAUGCUUUUAAAAGUCUGCUCAAAAGAUGGCUGAAAAGUAGUCAUCUUGUUUGCUGGCCUUUAUGCUUUAAUAUUGUUUUAUUUUCUUUUCUGGCCUUAGUUUCUUACUAAAAUUCCUUAUGAAAAACAUCCAGCCUAUUUCUGCUAAGAUACAGAGAGGUGGAGGUGGGGAGUGGUGGGGGGUUAACUCUCCCUGGGCCUAGAAAGGGCAACUUCACCUUGGGUGCAUUGGUGCUGGGUACACUCUCCCUGACAAAAUGGGUUGUAUACUUUGUUUAUUUAAGGAUGACAGUCCCUAGUGCUUGCAUAGCAGAUGGAGGUCCUGCUGUCUUAUAGGUGGGAAGACCCAUAGAAAGAGGUCCACUUGGGGGGAUGAAGGCUGGGGCUUGUGG